rnacentral:rRNA from 1 species
AGCGAACGCUGGCGGCAGGCCUAACACAUGCAAGUCGAACGGAUCCUUCGGGAUUAGUGGCGGACGGGUGAGUAACACGUGGGAACGUGCCCUUUUGUUCGGAACAACUCAGGGAAACUUGAGCUAAUACCGGAUGUUCCCUUCGGGGGAAAGAUUUAUCGCCAUUGGAGCGGCCCGCGUCUGAUUAGCUAUUUGGUGAGGUAAAGGCUCACCAAGGCGACGAUCAGCAGCUGGUCUGAGAGGAUGAUCAGCCACAUUGGGACUGAGACACGGCCCAAACUCCUACGGGAGGCAGCAGUGGGGAAUCUUGCGCAAUGGGCGAAAGCCUGACGCAGCCAUGCCGCGUGAAUGAUGAAGGUCUUAGGAUUGUAAAAUUCUUUCACCGGGGACGAUAAUGACGGUACCCGGAGAAGAAGCCCCGGCUAACUUCGUGCCAGCAGCCGCGGUAAUAC